rnacentral:rRNA from 1 species
GAUGAACGCUGGCGGCGUGCCUAAUACAUGCAAGUCGAGCGAACGGACGAGAAGCUUGCUUCCCUGAUGUUAGCGGCGGACGGGUGAGUAACACGUGGAUAACCUACCUAUAAGACUGGGAUAACUUCGGGAAACCGGAGCUAAUACCGGAUAAUAUUUUGAACCGCAUGGUUCAAAAGUAAAAGACGGUCUUGCUGUCACUUAUAGAUGGAUCCGCGCUGCAUUAGCUAGUUGGUAAGGUAACGGCUUACCAAGGCAACGAUGCAUAGCCGACCUGAGAGGGUGAUCGGCCACACUGGAACUGAGACACGGUCCAGACUACUACGGGAGGCAGCAGUAGGGAAUCUUCCGCAAUGGGCGAAAGCCUGACGGAGCAACGCCGCGUGAGUGAUGAAGGUCUUCGGAUCGUAAAACUCUGUUAUUAGGGAAGAACAUAUGUGUAAGUAACUGUGCACAUCUUGACGGUACCUAAUCAGAAAGCCACGGCUAACUACGUG